rnacentral:rRNA from 1 species
AGUAACGGCGAGUGAAGCGGGAAGAGCUCACGUUGUGAAUCUGGCCCUCGGGCCCGAACUGUACUCUGGAGAGGCGAGGCCAGCCGCUGUCCGCGGCCAAGUCUGAUUGGAAAUGAGCAUCAAGGAGGGUGACAAUCCCGUCCAUGCCGCGGUAUCGAUCAGCGCGCGUCCGGCCCGCUUUCGGCGAGUCGAGUUGCUUGGGAUUGCAGCUCAAAGAGGGUGGUAAACUCCAUCCAAAGCUAAACACGGGGGGGAGACCGAUAGCGAACAAGUACCGUGAGGGAAAGAUGCAAAGAACUUUGAAAAGAGAGUUAAAGAGUGCCUGAAAUUGCUGGAAGGGAAGCGAAGGAAAGAAGUGUGCGGUUGCCCGGGCGCCAACCCCUACCUGUCCGCAGGUGGGGGUAGGCCGCCCGGCCGCGGUCAGGGGUUGCGCCGGGCUCGGGGGAAGAGCCGUCGGGGAUCGGUAGGCGUGCCGCCGCUUCGGCGGGGGCGCGCUGUCAGGCCUCGGUGGUGAUAUAUAGUGUUAUAUCUAUAUAUCGUUUUGCCCUGAGCCCGGCCCCCUUCUGGCGGUCGCGGCUUUUCUUCACCCCGUCU